GCGGUCUUGGGAAGGGGCGGGACCUGUGGUCGCCUGAGGGAAGGGCGUGCGACUAGAGGUUUCUGGAAAGGCUGUGGGCCUGUGGCGCAAUUCCCCAGUUCCCAGAGGAUGUCAGAAGCUGCUCCAGAUGGGGAGGAUGCCAUCUUGGAUGCCUGAUGACCAACAUGCACAGCUUCAGUGGGCAUCACUCCAUGAAUAUCAGCCUGGAUCAUGGCCAUAGUGCUGAGUGGUAGGCAGUCAAUGGGCAGCAGCAGUGGCAUCCGCUCUUCAAAGUUCCAGGAGUUCAAGGUGCAGGAGCAUGAGGCAGAAGGUUACUUGCUACAUCUCAAGUCCAUAUCAUCAUAUGACCAGAAUCAGGGUACCCUGAGAGUGAGAGAGGGCUUGCUGGAUCAGGCAGGCCCCAGGGCACCCUUGCCACCUGUCCCCAUCUCCUUCUGGAUACUUUUGGCUCUGUCAAGGGCAUUCAACGGAGACCUCCCAAGAGCCCAGGCCAGGUGAGGAGCAGAGAGUGGGAAAGUUGAGGCAAAGGGCAUCCACCUGCCAGGUCCUUGAGCACUGUGCCCUGCCUCCCGCCUGUGCUCCAUCCUGUGUUCUCUAUUCCCUGUGACCCCUUUCCUGACCCCUUUUCCCGCUUCUUACCCCCACUAUCCAGUUCAGGUCAUUAUCUCUGGAAACCUCCUCACUGAUCCCCCUACCAAUGCUUUUAGCCAGUACAGUAGCCUGAGUUAUCCUUUAAAAGUGUAAGUCCAUCUUGUCAGGUCUCAUCUGAAUGUUACCUCCUCAGAAAGGCUCCCAUUGAUCACUCCAAAGACUCCGUGUCAUCAUAUGUUUUAUUAUCUUAAUUGCUGUUAUCUCUGACAUUAUCUGGGGAAUUUCUUUGUUCACAGCUUUAUGUCUUCCCCCUACCCCCGAAUGUAACCACCAAGAGAGCAGAGAAUCUCUCCUAUUUCCCACUUUUCCCCAGUACCCAGGACAGUCAGUGCCUGAUAUACAGCAAGCAGGAGCUCAAUAAGUAUUUAUUGAAUGAAUCAAUUAAUCCAUCCAUCCAUCUAUCCAACCCUCAGAAGAGCUCACAUUCCAGUCACUGGGAUAUUUGUUAGUCCUUAGAGUGACCUGGGUGCUGAGCAGAGAGGAGAGAGCCUCUCUUUGGUGUAUGGCACAAGCGUGUCGUGACCCUGGGAGGUGAGGCUAGGACCUCUUGGCAGGGUGGCAGUUAGCCAGUGGUAGGUCACGUGUCUCUUUAAAAGCAGCAGGAAGCCAGACUCUGAGAUAAGAAGCGUGACUGCCAGCGUGAUGAAGCUGGGGAGAGGGCCAGAGGGUGGAGAGGUGAGACUGCUCCAUGGGGAUGCCCAGGCCUCUGUGGCUGGCCGACCAGCACCACACACUUCCUGUGGGGAACAAGGAGAGGAGAUCCCCUCUGAAGGCCCUGGAGCUGGGGCUGCCCCAGGUGCCUUACCCUUGUCUUCACUGAGGUGGCUAAGACACAAGGCUGCUGCCUCUCCUCUAUGCCAUUCAUGCACACAGGGACCUGCCCUAGGGCAGGUGUUGGACCCAUGUGCUCUUGACUGCCCCAGCUGCCUGGACUCCUCUGUGUUUUAGUCUUUUUGUUGGUGAAAUGGUUUCACCACACUGGUGGUUGUAAAGAGUCUGGGACAUCUGGGAGGAAGGCCUCGGUGGGUACUGGGGGCUGGAGGCUCAAGGAGUCGUGAGGCUGUGGCAGACUGAGAUUUGAGGUAAGAGUGGUAGCCUGAGGUGCUACCUCUACCGGAAGGCUCACACUGAGGGUUCUGAGGCAGGCAAGGGGCAGACACUUAGAGGUCUCAGGUCUAGCUGACAUCCUGAUACUACAUGGCCAAGACCUGCCAUCUCUCUCAGUAUCUUAUCCUGGCUGGUUCAUGCUGAGUAGCAGGCGGGUAAUGGAAGAGCACUUGAUGAGAAAUCUCAGAGACUAGGGUUCAAGCCUCAUCUCUGCCACUCUUUGGGUUUAUAGCUCAGGACAAGCUAUUUCUCUGCUUGCUGCUUAAGUUACGCCAUCUGUGAAAGAGGGGGGUCAUGGUCUCACAUGAUUGUGGUGAGCAUUAAAGAAAUGAUGUAAGUCAUUGCCAUGACUCUAUGGGCUUGAGCUCCCUACUCCUACACUGUCAUCUUCUGGGGUAUGGAUGGUAGGGGAAUCUCUGGACAGAAAACCGCUGUCCUGACUCAGUGGCCUGCCCCACCCUGGCCUCUGGCCCAGAUUCUGGAGGUCUUAGUCAGGGGGUGGGGGCCAAAGCUGGGGUUUCCCUGUAGGUUCCAUGGGACAAAAGCACUGUAGCUCACUGGAAAGCCCUCAAAACAGCUGGAUGUAGCCCUGCCUGAGAAGAGCUCACAACUGCCAGAACAGACGGGUGGACCAGUUGGACCCGCCUCUUGGGGAAACCCAAGCAUGAGCUGGCACCUGGACCUGAAUACAGUUCCUGUCCAUCCUGCUCCAUCAAGGCUCUGAGGAAAGCUUGGGAAAGGAAAUUGGGGUAACCCACAGGCAGAAGACUGCUCUCACCUGAAUCCUACUCACAUCCAGCCUGUCCAAAGAUCCCAUCCCCCAGUGCCUGAACUAUCCAGGCUUCUUCCACUCACAUCACCUCCUCAUUCCCCAUCACUCUCUCACCUUACCUGUCCCAAGGCCCCUGCAAACAGGUAUUACCUCACCCUGCACUGACAUGCUUUCUCCAGGAUCAGGGGAGUUUCCUGACCUCUUGGUCUUCCCUGUGAUGGCACCACUCCUGGCUCCUUCCCUCCUCUGUGACCAGUUCUUACCAGACACUAGUGCAGUUGCUUCUUCUUCUGCCCAUCUUCUAGGUUUGCAAGUUACUUAGGGCUUGAUCCUUUCUCUCCUUGGCUGCACAGGUGUCUCAAACUUUGAUCUAAUGGCCAAAUCAGGGCCUAUAUCCUCCAAUUAGGGUCCCUAUCUUUUCUUAACAUACUACCCCAUAAAUAGCACCUCAGACUUACGAUAUUCCCCAGACAUAUUUCUGCAUGCCCUUCUUUGGAGGGGAAAUUCCACCACUUUGGAGCCACCCUAACUGUGAGCUACUGGGCCCAGAAUUCUCCUAUCUGGCUUCCACCUUUGUAUCAGCUCAUUCCUGCCAUGUUUCUCACCAGGACUCCUGCCAUGAAUGCAAGACUCUCUUUUAGGCAUCCCAUCAUGUUCUCCCUACCCCUUUGCCACCUGGCAGAUGACUCCUCCUCCCUUCAAAGACUGUCCUGCAACUAUCUACCCAAGGAAUUGUACCUAACUCCCUGACCCUCUGACCCAGGAAAUGGAUAUCCAUUUCCUGAUAGGUAUCCCUGGUACCUACUGGCUGAGGCACAGUGAGUACUCAGUAUUAGGGAGGGAGGGGGACCCUGAAGCCGUUUCUCCUAAGGAGUUGGGUACCUGAGAUCCGCGGAGUGAGGCCCUUUCCUGGGAUUUUAUGUCCCAAUAGAAAGAGGUUUAAGCUAAACAAUAGAAUCUUAAUGGGGGAUUUCUAAGCAUCAGGCUUCUGACCUGCUUGCCCAGGAGCUGGUUUUGUGCAUGACAUUUCAAAAGUGGUGUGGUUCAUGCUGUGAUAUGCAACCCAGACACUCAUUUAUGAAUGAAGGCUUUAUUCCACUGGCUGCUGGGAGAGCUACCAGAAGACAGCCUUGGUGGUCAGUCCUCUUUGGGGCUUGCCUCUGCUAAAGAAAAUUGCCUUGUGUAAGGUCACAUCUGCUUCCAGAUGGAGCUCACAUCUAGUGACUGAUAAAGAUGAGGGCAUGAAGGUGUGAGAAAAUGCUGAAUAACCAUCCCAGGAGAGCCCCUGGGUUCAGCUGGAACCUUUGUUAGAACUGCGUGGCCUCUGUCCUGGAAGACAUGUUCUCUCAUCAUUCCAGGACCUGCUCCUACUCCCACUCUUGGCCACUUGGCCAAUAACUAGGGUUAAGUCACAAUAUAACCUCACCAGAAAUGGGUCUGUUAGGGGAGAAAGGGAUCUACACUAUACAAAAUGCAAGAGCUAGCCAGUAAGUACAAGCAGCAGUUGGAAGAAUAUAUAUGAAACUGGAUUCUGGAUCAGGAAAGAGGGUGGUACAGAAAUUUGGAUAAAAGAGUUUAUGAAAUCACUAUCCAAGGAUGCAGUGUUUAAAACUGGCAAGCACCCCAGGAGAUGAUACAGAUAAACCAUUAGAAUGGUUCCUAGAAGCAAGGAAAAAUAAAUGAGGUAGAUACACCAGAAUUGCUGUGGCAGACUAUGGAAGAAGUGGGUAUGCACAAGUGGAUAUACUAAGUAAGGUUGGAAAACCCCCUCAAGAAUCCAAAAGAUACCAAAACAAUAAGAAAUGUGCUGGAAAUAAGGAUACCAGCAUCACUAAGAGGUAAACUGGUGGCCAUCCUCUGUGGUCAGGACUGACAGUAGAAGAUGUUGUCACAGAACUGAGCUCACUGAGAGCAAUGUUGCUUAUUCUGUACAAUCAGAAGAAAUCAGUCAAGGAUGAUGAGCCUACUCAUCCCAUUCACAAGCCCCUUGCCAAGUUUCCAGAUUGGUUGUUACCAGAAUCAGUGCAUUGAUUGAAGAAGAAACCAUAUCUCCAGAUAGAGGGAUCCCACAAUACCACAACAAGUGUGCCUGAUAAUGAUUUCUCCAGCACUUCCCCAAGGGAACCUGUGGCCAAUUAUUUGGGUAACUGUGGAUACUGGGAAAAGGAGAAUACACAAGCAUUUAAAGGAUUAUUGAACACAAGAUUUGAGUUGAAACUAUUCUCUGGAGAUCUGAAGUAGCACCAAGACCCUCUUGUCAGAGUUGGGGGCACAUGUAGUUCAGAUAAUAAGUAGAUUCUUGGCCAGAAUCCUGCUCAGAGCAGGCCCUCUAGGUUCCCAGACCCAUCAGGUGACAUAAGCAGAUAAACAUAUUUCAUGAUUAGCAUAAUCCUCUAUAUUGGAUCAUUGGCCUUUGUGAUAUGGGCUGUCAUAGUGAGGAGAGCCAAAUGGAAGCCAUAAAAAUGUCUCCCCUUUCUAGCGAAAAUUGUAAAUUAAAAACAUCACAUUGCAGAGAUGAUGGCAGAAAUUGGUGCCACCAUUAAAAACCUAAAGGAAGUCUGUUAUAUCUUCUUUAAUUUACUAGUAAAACCCAGAUAGAUCUAGAUCCUAGAAGAUGGCGUUGGGCUACUACCUGUUCAACAAAUAGUAGCUGCAGUUGGAACCACUGUGCCAGCCAGAUGUGAUAUCUUUGCUACAGUAGAUUAACACGGCCUCAGGCAUACAGUGUGUGGCCACUAAUCUGGUGACUCCAGUCUUUUCCACCCCGUCAGAAAUGGUUUGCAUUCACUUGGAACAAACACAGUACAGAUUUCUAGGGAUGCGUUAUUGCUCCUUCCUUCAUUCAUGCUGUAGUCCUAAGAGGUCUGGAUCAUUUGGGGCGCCCUAUAGAACAUAACUCUGGUCUUCUCAGUAAUGUUAUACUGAUCAGACAAGAUGAUCUAGAAGUGACUAACACAUUGAUGACUAUGACAAGAUAAAAGUACUCCAGAAAAUAAGCCCUAUGAAGAUUCAGAGCCUGCCACAUCAAUGAAGUUUUUAAGGAGCCAGUGGUCUAGAGCACAUCAGAAAAUUUCCUCUGAAGUAUAGGAUGAAUUAUUACAUGUUGUACUUCUCACCAUGAAGAGGGAGGCACCAUGUUUUGUAGGCCCCUUGGGGUUAUGGAUGCAACCUGUUGCACGCUUGGGAAUACUACUGUGACCUGUAAACCUGGCAAUAACUCAAAAGCCUGCCACCUUUGUGUGGGGCCCCAGGCAGGCAAGGACUCUGCAACAUUUUCAAGCUGUAAUACAGGUAACCCUGCAAUUUGGACCUUACGAAUCUUCAGAUCCUGUGGUUUUUAAAGGUAUCAGUAGUGGGAAAAUACAUUGUGUCCCUAAGGUUCUGGAGCAAAGCUAUAUCAUUUGCAUUGGGGAAUUUUACACCUUUUGGUAAAGAGCUCUUGUUAUGCUACUGAACCCUAGUGGAGCUGGAGGGCCUCACUGAGAAGGUCAAGCGGGCCUAGCAGUAACAUUGUAAUUCUGGAAUUAAUUGUGAGCAAGAUUGCAGGACACAAGUAAGCUGCAGAAAUAGGUAACCCAGAACUCCAUGUCAUCUACCACCAUGGCACCAGAGCCUUUCCCCUAGCUCACACCUAUGGAUACAUGGGUGAUGCGGACCAGCUGAUGGAAGAGGUAAAAGUUUAAUUUGGUUUAUAAGUUGAUCACAUCAGUAUGUGGGUCAAGCCAAAAAUGGUUAGUUACUCUACUACAGCUCCACUCAGGAAUGACCUUUAAAGACAAUAGUGAGGAAAAAUCCAGUCUGCUAAAGCUUCAGGUUGUAUGCCUGAUCGUUGACUUUGUAUAGAGAGGUAGGCUGAAGUUAAAAUAUAUAUAGAUUCAAGGGCAGUGGCAAAUGGCUUGUCUAGCUGGUUGGGGACCUAGAAAGAGAAAGACUAGAAGACCGGGGACAAGGAAGUCUGUUAUAGAGACAAGUGAUUGACAAACAUUAGUGGUGUGAAAUAUGAAAAGCUUCAUAUUUGAGUGUUAAUGCCAGGAAGCCUACCACAAUGGAAGAGGCACUGUAAUCGGGUAGACGUAGUGACUCUUCCAUUUGAUAUCAUCCAGCUUCUGUCAUUGUACCUCAGUGCUGCCUCAAUGGGUACAUGAAUGGAGUACCCAUGGGUACAGGGAUGCAGGCUAUGCAUAAACCUAAUACCAUGAGCUCUUACCACAGUUGAUCUAGCUAUUGUCACUGUCAAAUGUCUAUCUUGCUGGCAACAGAGACCAGCCCUGAGCUCCAGAUGCAAUAUUGUGAGUCAAGGAGAUCAAUAGGCCACUUGGUUGCUAGUUGACCACAAUGGGCCUCUUAGACCCUGGAAGGACCAGUAAUUCAUUUUGACAAAAAUAAAAACACAUUCCAGGUACAGGUUUGCCUUUCCUGUCUUCAGGGCCUCAGCCAAACCACUCCCCAAGGGCUUUCACAGCUUUUGAUCCACCAGCAUGGGGUCUCAUAUAAUAUCAUGUCAAACCGAGGGAUCCACUUUAUGGCAAAGAAGGAGUAGGUCCAUGACCAUAGGGUCCACUGGUCUUAUCAUAAACUGCACUAUCUAGGAGCUGCCAAACUGAUAGAAUGUUGUGCAACAGCCUGUUGGAGGCGUGAUUGAAACACCAGCUUGAGAGAGGUACUUAGAAGGAUAAUGAGCCAUCCUCCAUGACACAGUUCUCACUAUGUCAAAGACCCUCACUUGGAGCCAUGUCCUGAUAAAUAUAAUACAAAGGUCUGAGAAUCAAGAGACAGAAACAUGAAUGGUCCUUUUUACCAUCUCCCUGUGACCCAUUUGGAAAAUGUGUGCUUCCCAUCCCUUCAUCUCUAUACUCUAUGGCCUUAGAGAUCCUGGUUCCCCAGGAAGGAACGCUUCCACCAGGGACUACAGCAAGAGUCUAUACCAUAAGCCAGGGUUGCUACCAGAGCAGUUUGACCUCUUUGUAUCCAGGAACCAGAAGAAAGGAAGAGUAGUCACCAUCGUGGCAGGGUAUCUGAGCCUGAUCAUCAGGAGGAAAGGUAAAAAAAAA